rnacentral:piRNA from 1 species
GGGAAAAGUCAGUGUGUGGAGAAGGA